rnacentral:rRNA from 1 species
UGGGGAAUAUUGCACAAUGGGGGAAACCCUGAUGCAGCGACGCCGCGUGAAUGAAGAAGGUAUUCGUAUCGUAAAGUUCUGUCCUAUGGGAAGAUAAUGACAGUACCAUAGAAGAAAGCUCCGGCUAAAUACGUGCCAGCAGCCGCGGUAAUACGUAUGGAGCGAGCGUUGUCCGGAAUUAUUGGGCGUAAAGGGUACGCAGGCGGUUUAAUAAGUCGAAUGUUAAAGAUCGGGGCUCAACCCCGUAAAGCAUUGGAAACUGAUAAACUUGAGUAGUGGAGAGGAAAGUGGAAUUCCUAGUGUAGUGGUGAAAUACGUAGAUAUUAGGAGACAUACCAGUAGCGAAGGCGACUUUCUGGACACAAACUGACGCUGAGGUACGAAAGCGUGGGGAGCAAACAGG